GAUGAACGCUGGCGGCGUGCUUAACACAUGCAAGUCGAACGGAAAGGCCUGCUUUCCCUUGUGGAUUGCGGGUACUCGAGUGGCGAACGGGUGAGUAACACGUGAGUGAUCUGCCCCCAACUUGGGUAUAAGCCUGGGAAACUGGGUCUAAUUCCCGAUAGGACUGCAGGGUGGUGCCUGUGGUGGAAAACGAUUUUCUAGUGGUUGGGGAUGAGCUCGCGGCCUAUCAGCUUGUUGGUGGGGUAAUGGCCUACCAAGGCGGCGACGGGUAGCCGGCCUGAGAGGGUGGACGGCCACAUUGGGACUGAGAUACGGCCCAGACUCCUACGGGAGGCAGCAGUGGGGAAUAUUGCACAAUGGGCGGAAGCCUGAUGCAGCGACGCCGCGUGGGGGAUGACGGCCUUCGGGUUGUAAACUCCUUUCGACCGCGAGGAAGCCACCUGGUUGGAAGGGUGGUGACGGUAGUGGUAGAAGAAGCACCGGCUAACUACGUG
rnacentral:rRNA from 1 species